UACGAACCGUACAAACGUUAUUCGGAAUCACUGGCUUAAAGGGUGCGUAGGCGGCCAUGUAAGUGGGGUGUGAAAUCCCUCGGCUCAACCGAGGAACUGCGCUCCAUACUGCAUGGCUUGAGGAGACAGGGUAAGCGGAACGUGAGUGGUGGAGCGGUGAAAUGCGCAGAUAUCAGGAGGAACACCGAUGGCGAAGGCAGGUCUCUGGGCCAUAACUGACGCUGAGGAGCGAAGCAUGGGAGCGAACAGGA
rnacentral:rRNA from 1 species